ACUAGAGCUGAAACAACUAAUCGAUUUAAUCGAUUAUAAUCGAUUAUUAAAAUAGUUAACAACUUUUUUAGUCAUCGAUUAGUUGUUUAAUAAUCAUAUUUUACCGCAUAAAGUCUAUUUUUACCACAAUCUGACAUCGGUUACAAGCUGUUAAAUUUGCCGCCAGUGUGUGGCAGUAAUGAGCCACUGAUCUACCAGUGGAGCCGUAGAAGAAGAAAUGAGCCAAUGAGUGCCCUCGGUUUUCAUGACGUAUCACGUUACUGACGCUCAUCUUGCUGUGAGAGAUGGCGGAACAAGAGGAAAUACGGAAGAAAAAUAGAAGCGACAAAAUUUUAGAGAAACCCCGGACAAAAACCUCACGAGUAUGGGAGCACUUCACUAGAUGCAUUGAAAAGGCAAAAUAUGCAAAAACCAUCUAGCAUGGCACGGAAGCACGACGUCCCUAAGUGAACAUUUGAGACGAAAACGUGGGGGCUGAGGAAGAGCACCGCGGUCAAGUGAGCCGUCAUUUGGAAGAGCCAGCCCGAAAAAAAACAAGCAACGAUGGACAACUACAUGGGGAAAGAGACACUCACCCCCCAGCAAUUCAUACCACUUACAAACUCUAUUCUAAACAUGCUGGUAAAAGACAUGAGGCCACUAUCCAUGGUGGAAGGAGCAGGCUUCCAGCUAAUGCUAAAAAAUUAUUCUGGACUGAUAUUUUGCACUGUUUAGCUCAUUUUAUACUGCUGACUGUGUUCAUGUGCAAUAAAAUAGAUUGCAGUCAACUGCACAA